CCUACGGGAGGCAGCAGUGGGGGAUAUUGCACAAUGGGGGAAACCCUGAUGCAGCGACGCCGCGUGGGUGAAGAAGCGCCUCGGCGCGUAAAGCCCUGUCAGCAGGGAAGAAAAUGACGGUACCUGAGGAAGAAGCCCCGGCUCACUACGUGCCAGCAGCCGCUGUAAUACGUAGGGGGCAAGCGUUAUCCGGAUUUACUGGGUGUAAAGGGGGCGCAGACGGGGAUGCAAGCCAGGAGUGAAUGCCCGGGGCCCAACCCCGGGACUGCUCUUGGAACUGCGUGGCUAGAGUGCAGGAGGGGCAGGCGGAAUUCCUGGUGUAGCGGUGAAAUGCGUAGAUAUCAGGAGGAACACCGGUGGCGAAGGCGGCCUGCUGGACUGCAACUGACGUUGAGGCCCGAAAGCGUGGGGAGCAAACAGGAUUAGAUACCCCUGUAGUC
rnacentral:rRNA from 1 species